rnacentral:misc_RNA from 1 species
GUUUCACUUUCAUGCCCAAGUCAUCUUCCAUCUUUUGAUUAAUGUUGUAUUUAAUUAUGCGCUUGUUGGGAAGGAAUAAGUUCUAUGGAGUGCGAGAAUCAUCAUAAGUAGAUUGGAGUGUUCUGAAAGCAGAGAUUCACGUCCCAUGGAAAUGGAAUGGACUCUUCCCCACAUAGCUAAAAUAGCAGACCUGGCAUGGAGUCUUGUCCCCAAAUUUGAUACAACCUGCUUUUAUCCCAUGAAUUUAUUUUGUUUUCUUCAAACUGUGCUUUUAAUUCUUAAAUUCUUGUUCUUGAUAAUCUACUUGUUAAACUGCAAAUAAUUUAUUUGAAAUUAUUCUUAUAAUUGCACCAUUAUCACACCGACUUUGAAGUUUGAAUCCUCCCUUUCUUUCUGAAGCAUCAUCUGAAUAAAUAAAAAAAGGACUCUCAUUGGCAAGUUUAAUAUGUAAUUAAAUUGAUAAAUUCUUUUUGUAGAUAAAUAAAUAACUCUAAUUUGUCUUGAUUCUAUUAGAAAUCCAUGGCUGA